UUUGUUCCAGUGAUCCUCCGGCGAUGCUGUAGGAUCCGUCAUCUUGGAAUCAGCAGCUGUUCGAGAGCGUCAUGGGGUGGAAAAACAAUUUAGAGAAAGGGACCUACGCCCUCUACUGGUUCACACGGUUGGUGAUGGGGAAUGCGGCGGGGGGAAUAGAGCAGGCAGAUGGCAGGGAGGCCAAGCACUCUGUGGGCUCAGGAACGGGCCUGAGUGACCCCACCCCGACCCUGCAGAAGAAGCAGCCUGCUCCCCCCAAGCUGCCCGUGCCCCCAGAGGAGGAGCUGGAGGAGCGCUUCAGUGUGGUGCUGAGCUAUAUGAACUUGCCUCCAGACAAGCUGAAUCUUUUGAGUCAGUAUGACAAUGAGAAGAAGUGGGAGCUGAUCUGUGAUCAGGAGCGGUUCCAGGUGAAGAACCCUCCCUCUACCUAUCUGACCAAGAUCAAGAGCUUCUAUCAGGACCAAGGAGGAGUGACCCGCAGGUUCAAGAGGCGGGUCCAGGAGUCCACCCAGGUAUUGAGAGAGCUGGAGAUCUCCCUCCGCACUAAUCAUAUUGGCUGGGCCCAGGAGUUUCUGAAUGAGGAGAACCAGGGUUUGGAUGUAUUGGUGGAUUACCUGUCCUACGCCCAGUGUGACGCUUCGUUUGACCUGGAGGGUGCUGAGAAUGGGGGAACACUGUCAGAGAGAGGGAAGCCAGCGGAGAGGUCCAUGGAGGACCUGAAUAAGAGUGCAGGAAGCUCCCCUACACACGGCAUGACCAGAGCAGCCCGCGCCCUGACCGUACGAAUAACCUCUCUGGCCCAGAGUAGGAAAACUCAGAAGAUCUCUCGAUUGGCCAGUCAGAGGGACGACGUCCAUGUGUGCAUCAUGUGUCUGCGUGCCAUCAUGAACUACCAGUCGGGCUUCAACCAAGUUAUGACUCACCCACGCUGCGUCAACGAGAUCACUCUCAGUCUCAACAACAAGAACCCCAGAACCAAAGCCCUGGUGUUGGAGCUGUUGGCUGCUGUGUGUCUUGUGAGGGGCGGUCAUGACAUCAUUCUCGCCGCCUUCGACAACCUCAAGGAGGUGAGCGGAGAGAAGAACCGCUUUGAGAAACUGAUGGAGUACUUUAGCAAUGAUGACAGCAACAUUGACUUCAUGGUGGCCUGCAUGCAGUUCAUUAACAUUGUGGUGCAUUCGGUGGAGAAUAUGAACUUCCGUGUGCACCUGCAAUAUGAGUUCACUCACCACGGACUGGACCAGUACUUAGAGUCUCUGAAGCUGACAGAGAGUGAGAAGCUGCAGGUUCAGAUUCAGGCCUACCUGGACAACGUGUUUGAUGUGGGGGCUCUGCUGGAGGACGCAGAGAACAGGGGCGGGGUGCUGGAGCAUGUGGAUGAACUGCAGGAGCAUAACUCACAGCUGAGUGCCAGGCUAGAGGAGAUUGAGAGCCAGUCUGCAGAGAGGAUGGCUGAACUGGAGAAACAGCUCCUCCAAGCCACCAAGGAGACAGAGCUGCUCAAGGAGAGCCUGCGGGACUCCUGUUCCCAGGUCAGUUCUCUGCAGCAGAGAGAGAGGGAGAGGGAGAUGAGCCAGGAGAGGGAGCGGGACAGAGAGCGUCUCAGCCAGCCCUCCUCUGAGCUGGAACUCAAGGUGCAGGAGCUGCAGGACCGAGGGCUGAUCCGCCUGGGACGCACCCCCUCUGGGGCCCUAGACCUCCAGGUGGUGCCUGUCACCAUCAUCGAGUACGCCCCCGCCCCAGCCUCUGAGUGCCUGCUCAGCUCCACUGGACCCACUGCCCCUGGCCCAGAAGUCCCCGAUGCCACUCCCUCCUCAGCCAUCUCUGCUGUCCCCCCUCCUCCUCCUCCUCCCCCCCCGCCUCCUGGGCCUGGUGGACGUGCUCCCCCACCUCCUCCUCCUUCCCCCGUGUGGCUCCGGUGGCCCACCUCCCCCUCCUCCUCCCCCUCCUCCAGGGGGAGGUCCGCCCCCACCUCCUCCCCCACCCGGCGGUGGACCUCCGCCCCCACCCGGAGGCCCACCUUCUGGAGACAGCCAAGCCGGAGGUAAAAGCAGGAAACCCAUCCAGACUAAGUUCCGGAUGCCUUUGCUCAACUGGCAGGCACUGAAGCCCAACCAGGUGACUGGCACGGUCUUCCACGAGCUGGACGACGAGCAGGUCUUAGGGGAGCUGAACAUGGAUGCGUUUGAAGAGCAGUUUAAGACCAAGGCCCAGGGUCCUCCAGCAGCUCUGUCCACUCUUAAGGUCAAGGUGGCCCAGAAGGCCCCCAGCAAGGUCAACCUGAUCGAGGGCAACAAGGCCAAGAACCUGGCCAUCACGCUACGCAAGGGAGGCAGG